CAUCAUGCCACUUGCUCUGUUGUAUGCUUAUUUUUUGCGGUUAUACUUAUAUCACAGAAUAGCUCACUUUUACACAAUUUUGUACAUAUUCUAUGAUGUCGUUCUAAUCUUGUACUGGCUGUAACAGAUACAUCUACUGAUGUGUUUCUUGAUGUUCCUAUAUUCUUGGAGUACAUAGCAAUUCGUGGGAGAAAAGUAUCUUGUACGAAAUACUGCUAGCCACAUCAGUAUUGAAAUCAUUCUCGCCGUUGCUUGUUCACUCUUACAUCUGAGAGGUGUUCAGAUAAGGGGUAUCCGGCAGGUACUUUUCAUAUGCACUCCGUAUUAGUUAACCAGAAACACCUCUCAUCCAAACACCUUCGAAGACUAAGACGUAUUUUUCUCUCAAGCCUCUGCAGUAGCUUCUAAACUUGAUGUGAAUCCAGUUUGUAUCCUCUGAGUCAUCAACGUCAUCUAGACCUAUACGUACAAAUUUUUUUUUGCGGGGGUUCCUAUACCUACAGUUGACCUGAGCUCUUUCAACUCUCACAUGCCUUCUGUGAAGUGGCAAGUGUUGUUCUCUGACGGUUGCUGCUUUUCGCCCGUGUAACUGGACUUGUAUAAAGUGGCUGGAUGGUUCCUUGUGAUUACGAUGAUCAACACACUUUUGUUUUCUUUUCCUUCGAAAGCCGGGAGCUACCGAGAAGUACGUACAGUACUAACUUUUUUUCCAUCGAAUUUAGGACUUUAUUCAGAAUAACAAAAGUCGGUUACAGUCUGCCCGUAGGCUAGCACGUAGGAAUUCUGGGCUAACAUCUAGCCAACUAUCCGUCCCAUCAAGCGUACAGGCACGCUGAGCACAGAGAUGGGCCGGCACAUUCAAAUUCCUACAACAUGUUGAACCGAAAAAAAAAUAAAGUGUGGUACAAUGUCCAAUAAUUCUCUAAAGAUAG
rnacentral:lncRNA from 1 species